GAUUAACGCUAGCGGCAGGCAUAAUACAUGCAAGUUGAACGGGAUUCUUGCAGCAAUGUGAGAUGAGAGUAGCGCACGGGUGCGUAACACGUAUGCAACCUGCCCCUGACUGGAGGAUAGCCCUCUCGAAAGAGAGAUUAAAUAUUCCCAUAACAUAUAGGAAGAGCAUUUCUUUUUAUAUCAAAGCUCCGGCGGUCAGGGGAUGGGGCANGCGGGCUGAUUAGGUAGUUGGUGGGGUAAUGGCUCACCAAGCCGACGAUCA
rnacentral:rRNA from 1 species